rnacentral:rRNA from 1 species
CAGUCGCCGCGGGAAUACGUAGGGCGCAAGCGUUGUCCGGAAUUAUUGGGCGUAAAGAGCUCGUAGGCGGUCUGUCGCGUCUGGUGUGAAAUCCCGAGGCUCAACCUCGGGCUUGCAUCGGGUACGGGCAGACUAGAGUGCGGUAGGGGAGACUGGAAUUCCUGGUGUAGCGGUGGAAUGCGCAGAUAUCAGGAGGAACACCGAUGGCGAAGGCAGGUCUCUGGGCCGCAACUGACGCUGAGGAGCGAAAGCAUGGGGAGCGAACAGGAUUAGAUACCCGAGUAGUCCCUGUCUCUUAUAA